GCAGAGACGCGCGGGCCACGCGUGGAGAGAGCGGCGCGAUGAGGCCGGGUUUCAGCCCCCGGGGUGGACGCGGUGGAUUCCGAGGCAGAGGUUCCGGGUUCGCGCCCCGCGGAGGGG